rnacentral:lncRNA from 1 species
GGAUUAUUGGUGUCAUAAUAGAUUAAAUGAUUAAAGGUGAUGUGUGAAUACCUAAUUUUGAGUUGAACUGUCAUGAACAUAUUUGACGUUUCUUAGUAUGUGGCAUCAUGUGUUUCUAACAGAAUAAAUGGUAUAGAGUAUUUGUUCCAACAGAUAAAGCUUAUUAUUACAUCAGUGUUAAAACCACAAUGUCCAGAGAAACUUGAAUGAGGAGGAACAGAUAUACAAUUGACAGGACAUGUUUAAGACUUUUAGUUUUGUUUUGACAUAAUUUUUGACAGAAGUUUUAAUGCUUAUCAUCUGCAUUACUUUACAAUUUUUCUAUUGAUUCUGUUGUAGUUGUUUCUUCUUUCAUGCAUGAUGUUUAAACCCUGCUGCAUUUAUUUGCACCUGUUCUAAAUCAGGAACCUGAUGUUCAGUGGUUGUUGUUUGAUUAUGUGGUUCAUAAGUGUUUCUUAUAUCUUUUUUUUAUAUAGAUCAGAAUAGAUAGUUGUUUUUCCCUUUGAGAUGUUUUACACAUGUCAUUUUUGGGGCUCUUUAUAGCUUGCUGUUCCAAGUGAGAAAAGGCUCUGUGUUGAAGGCUAUACUUUGAACUAUAACAGUCUUCUUUUACAAAUUGCGACCUUUGAUGGAGAGUUGUCUCAUUGGCACUCAUACCACAUCAUCUUAAAUCUAUAUAUGAUGGCUUCAAGAAGUAUUAUUUAUUCUCAAAUAGUUGUGAAGGUAGUUGUUGGAACAAGAAUACAUGCCAUCAUUAACUUGGGGGUAAAAAGUUACACAGAUGUGUUGGUUGCUUAAUGUCCAGUUGCAAAUAUUUCAUGAAUGUUUAGGAUGACUGCUAGGUGACAUAACUAUGUUUAAACCUUCAUAAACUGUUGUUUUUGUUUGUUUGUUUACCUUGUAUGUAAAUUCUAAAUAUUGUUUGCAACUAGCUCACAUCUUACGAUGUACAAUUUUGUCAAUUGCAUUGUCAAGGAGAUUCACUGUCUGUCUUUAGUUCUGAUUAAGGAAUAUAUCUAAUUUGACAGGGGGAAAUUAUGGAUAGUUGAGAGUCUGCAUUACCAUAUUGUCGUCCCUAAAUAUAUGUAUGACAGGGCUGCCAAGUCUAGCGUGAGACUCGCAGAUGUUCAUGCUUUUUUGUGGCAUUUUCCUUUGAUUUAUUGUUUUUUUCUCUUUGAUUUUUUCAAUUUUGGCCAAAUCUUAAGCAUUUGCUUCACGAAAAGUGGGCAGAACUGGUAUGUGAUAUUUGCCACUGGACAUCAAACACCACUGUACCAUUAUCAGCAGCAGGAUAUUUUUUUACAUAUCAAAAUGGCACAUAUCCAGAUAAUUUUUUAUUUACAUAACAUAAAAAAAACUGCUUUGGGUUUUCCCUUUUCCUCUUUUCAAUUUAAUAAAAUUUCACAGACGAGGAUUUCCGUCUGAACUUUGAUAUCACAUAAAAGUUAGCCUGAGUUAUUUCAAGAAGUUGUACAUGUUACACAAUUUAUUUUUCAUAGUCUUUACUUUUGUAUUCUGCUUUACUCACCUUUUUAACGUCUGUUCUGCAACAGUUGAUGUGGUGACAAUCCCUGUAUUCGUCUUCAAAUGAUCAAGAAAAUUGUCAUGCGAGCACAACUAGACUAAAUUUGCACUGUCACUUUUGUUUUGACAACUUUUUCCUAGUUAGUAAGGCAGAGUCGUGAGAGUUCCGAAUGGAAUUAGGUCAAUGGAUUUCGUAAUCCCGGUACUCACGUGUGUUGGUGUAUUUAUAACUAACAUUCCUAGACUGUUCGAAUGUUCUGGACAGAAUUAAGAAGAUAUAGAUCAGUUUUUGCAGUUAAAUGAAAUAAAUUGUUCUGCAUUUGUCACAGGUUUACUCUUGGACCCAAAACAUCUCGGGUAAAAAGGUAGAGUAAAAAGGUAGAACGUCAGGAAAGACAACUUUUACCUUGACCUACUUAUGAUUUAACUUAGCCUUAGUGCAUUCAAACUCAUCAGUAUGCACUUUUCGGUUGAAACCUAUAUAUGAAGAGGAAGGUUCAAUGUGAUGGGAGACCGAGAAAAAGGAGAGGAAGGGUGUGAAAAAGUACGGAAAGGAUGAGAAGAAGGACAGAUAGAAAAUUAAAGUUGAAAACUGGUCUGCAAAAUUUGCAAAAUGAUAGAUCAUGAUAGGGACUUCCCUGUCCUUCCCUUUAAUCACCGACUCUUGGUACUUUCUGCAGAUAAGUCAUAUUAAAUAUCCUUUAUUAAAUAUACUUGUUAUUUGCAGUAUACCUCAUAGUCAAAUGUGUGAGUGCUAAAUUGUUUUUUUUUCUUUUUUUUUUCUUUUGUAUUUUUUAUAUGAAGAU